AAGAAGAGACGGUCCCUCCUCAUAUUUGAAACAGAGAGAGGAAAAUGAUGAAGAAAGUCCUGACUAUGUGCCGCUCCGGAGACUGCGAGGCAUCACUUGUCGGCUGCUUCCAGUCUCUCACACAGUCAGCCAGGCAGAGGCGAGAGUGCAACAGAGACGAGCUCACCUCUGGUACGUAGCUGGCUCAGUGAUAUUCCACAUCACUUCCUGCCCAAAAGAACCCACAUGAUCUCCGUCCACAGUCCAUAGUCCAGCAGAUCCGUCAGCUGAGGCUGUGAGGACGAACAAUCUGUCAGCCACUUCGAGGACUUCCACGCUCACUAACGCUCUCUCAUGAGCCUUCCAACACUGCAGCAGAGGAGGCCGCUCACAAACGGGCUGUGUAGAAAGAGAACACCUCAGGUGGAGCACUGGUCCCUGUGUCUCCAGCCUCCAGAUGAUGACCUCUCCAUCAUGGCUCGCUGUGGCAACAACCCCCAGGGCAGAGCACUGACACACAGCCAGGAUGUCUGAUUUGUGGACACUGCUGGACUUCCACGACAUGUCUGCUCUCACAUACAAAUCCUAUGGGUACAGUAUGUACAGAGAUGUAAAUAUUAAACCACAUCAAAGCUUUUUAUUCUGGUAUUGUAAAAACAUUUGUAUUCAGUAUUCAGAUUGAAAAACACCAGUUUUAGUAAUUUUGUGCUAUCAUGUUGUCUUCAGUUGUGCAUGAGCUUGUAGGUUGAAAUUGUAAAAAACUCUCUGCACAUCACUUCCCACUGUGUGACAGUUAACAAAUAGUCUGAAAUAACAUGUAAUUAUUUGUGUUGCCUUGUGGAAAACAGCUCUAUUUCCUUCUCUGGUUUACUGAUUGUGUUUACACCUCUGGGCUACAGUGUUGUGGUCAGCUCUUUAAAAUGCUGGAACCUCAGCAUGGUGGACGUCAGAGGAAUACUGGUGCAGAUGUCUUGCCUGGCACAGACUGUCUUUGAUCUCACCAGGUGCAGUGUGUAAAUGUGAUUUACGUCAGUCGCUGAUAUCAUUUACUCCUGAAAAACAGUUUUUUUUGCUUCAAAAUAUUUUCUCAAAAGCCUGGCUCUGCUGACACAGGGGGCUUUACAAUUAGAAUCAUUACGAGUGGGGAAAAACAGGAUAGAGAAUUUGCUGGAGAAGCAUGAAUACUGAAUGUUACUACUGUAGUCUUCAGGGGAUGAAUCUGACCACAGAGCAGAUGGUAGUUAAAGGUUGAGAGGUAAAAUGUAACACAAGAAUUUGAGGUGUGAAAAUAUGCACGUCUGCACACCCAGACUUUGGUCUCACAUUGCAGUUCAUAGUGGUGUUUAUACUGGCACUGGCUAUACUUCAUCUUUAUUUCUUGAGAGCUGAGUGUCAGUGUGUAUACAUGUGUAGGUGGAUGUGUUGGAGCUUUUUUAUGCUCUGUAACAGUCUAGACAUCUUUUACUAGCAAUAAAAAGACAUAAGAGGUCUGAUUUAAAGAUGUCACAGAUUUAACUGCAUAUUUAUUGGAUUUCAUUAAAUAAGUUUUAUGCCACUAAUGCAGGAAAUAUCUUCUGAGGUGAAAAUCCUUCUUAAGCUCAAACUGUUGUCAUAAUUCUUAAGAAAAAUGCAGUGUUUUAAGUCUGCACCAGAUUAGUCACUAUGGUGAAAGCUGUUUGUGUGGGGACUCAUCAUCCAGCAUUCAACAUCUGGGGAAGAACUUGUGGACGAGCCAAAGCGAGAAGGCUAAGACUUCUUGAAGUGUUCAUCUUGACAUAUUUCAGCUUUUUGGUCAUUAGUUAAUGUGUGUACUGCACUUCCCAGAAUCACCUGUCAAUCAAAAGCAUUUAUAAUGUAUUUUUAAGUGGGCGGCGCUUCUGUCUGCUCCAUCAAGUAAUGAUAUGUGUUGAUGCUCACACUAACAACAUAUUUAUUCCUCUAUUCUAUUCUUCUAUUAUUAUUACAUUAUAUUUAUAAUUACA